GACGUAGGGUCCAAGCGUUGUCCGGAUUUACUGGGCGUAAAGAGCGCGUAGGCGGCUCGUUAAGUGUGAAGUGAAAUCUCCAGGGCUCAACCCGGAAACUGCUUUACAUACUGGCGAGCUGGAGUGAUGAAGAGGUUUGUGGAAUUCCUGGUGUAGCGGUGAAAUGCGUUGAUAUCAGGAGGAACACCCAUGGCGAAGGCAGCAAACUGGUCAUCAACUGAUGCUGAGGCGCGAAAGCGUGGGUAGCAAACAGG
rnacentral:rRNA from 1 species